GCCUGGGUGGCUCAGUGGUUGAGCAUCUGCCUCUGGCUCAGGGCGUGAUCCCAGAGUUCUGGGAUCGAAUCCCACAUCAGGCU
rfam:Canis lupus familiaris chromosome 28, whole genome shotgun sequence.